AGGAACAGCCUUCGCAGACAGUGUGUGCUCUGACUGUAGUGGUGGAACAUUUUCAGAUGGGACAUUUACAUUUUGUCAACCACACACACAAUGUGAAUCAAAAAACCUUCAGCUGAUAAGACCCGGAACUGCUUCAACUGAUGCUGAAUGUGGAGAACACAGUGCAAAAGGGACAGCACUUGUGAUCGUCAUUCCAUUGAUUUUUUUAUUGAUUUUAAUACCAGCUGUAGUUUACUUUGUCAUGAAGAAAACAGAUCUAAAACG